rnacentral:lncRNA from 1 species
AUUUAGCCUUUCGGGUUCCGUUUCCGCGCCUACGCGCACCGAAACGCUCGAUAGCUCCCGAACUUCAUCAAACUUCACCGGGACCAUUCAAACGGCUCUCCAAUCGAAUGUACACCGUAACUUAAUAGUUUUAGAAGUCCGGUACCUUACACUAAUGUUGUUCCGGUUUUUGUUCUUGUGAGCGAUGACAUCGAUUCGUUCCAAAUUUACACUCUCUGGCCAUAAUAGAACAAUUUAAUUAGGUUUUACGCUUUCUUCGAUAAAAUGAGAAAAAGCACUCGUUGCAAAGUUAUACUGUUAUGGCGCAACUGAGUAGUCUAAAGUUGUUCCGGUUUUUGUUCUUGUGAGCGUUGACAUCGAUUCGUUCCAAAUUUACACUCUCUGGGCAUAAUAGAACAAUAUAAUUAGGUUUUACGCUUUCUUCGAUAAAAUGAGAAAAAGUACUCGUUGCAAAGUUAUACUGUUAGGGCGCAACUGAAUAGUCUAAUGUUGCUCCGGUUUUUGUUCUGGUGAGCGUUGACAUCGAUUUGUUCCAAAUUUACCCUCUCUGGGCAUAAUAGAACAAUAUAAUUAGGGUUUACACUUUCUCCGAUAAAAUGAGAAAAAGUACACGUUGCAAAGUUAUACUGUUAGGGCGCAACUGAGUAGUCUAAUGUUGUUCCGGUUUUUGUUCUUGUGAGCGUUGAAAUCGAUUCGUUCCAAAUUUACACUCUCUGGUCAUAAUAGAAUAAUAUAACUAGGUUUUACGCUUUCUUCGAUAAAAUGAGAAAAAGUAUUCGUUGCAAAGUUAUACUGUUAGUGCGCAACUGAGUAGUCUAAUGUUGUUCUGGUUUUUGUUCUUGUGAGCGAUGACAUCGAAUCGUUCCAAAUUUACACUCUCUGGGCAUAAUAGAACAAUAUAAUUAGGUUUUACACUUUUCUUCGAUAAAAUGAGAAAAAAUACUCGUUGCAAAGUUAUACUGUUAGGGCGCAACUGAGAAGUCUAAUGUUGUUCCGGUUUUUGUUCUUGUGAGCGUUGACAUCGAUUCAUUCCAAAUUUACACUAUCUGGGCAUAAUAGAACAAUAUAAUUAGAUUUUACGGUUUCUUCGAUAAAAUGAAAAAAAGAACUCGUUGCAAAGUUAUACUGUUAUGGAGCAACUGAGUGGUCUAAUGUUGUUCCGAUUUUUGUUCUUGUGAGCGUUAACAUCGGAUCGUUCCAAAUUUACACUCUCUGGGCAUAAUAGAACAAUAUAAUUAGGUUUUACGCUUUCUUCGAUAAAAUGAGAAAAAGUACUCGUUGCAAAGUUAUACUGUUANA